CAGCAGUCUUCUGAAUACUGUGAGAGUGGAAACAGGUCACAGGUAUUCUAAGUUGAUAAUAUACAGGUGCCUAUAAUAUACAGGUGCUUUAGUCCAGAAACCGACUCCAUCUCUGAGGCACCUUCUAUUUCGAAGGGACUGGAAUCUUGAAGAUUUUCACAAGUAGUUCCAAAAAUGGGUGCAAAAGCCAGCAGCAACAGAAGGUCCAGUAUAACCAGCGUCGUAUCAGCCACUGGUACAACCGAAAACCGCAGGAAGAGUCUGUGGGAGCCAAUGCAGAUGACCUUGACCCCCUCAGGACCCAAAAGGAGUUUCGGGGAACACAGAAACUCCAGAUUUUUCGAUUACCUAUUCUCAGCCAGGAGAGGAGUGUAAAAUAACCAACACAAUAAUGUGACUGUCACAGGGAGUGUGGCCAAGACAGAAAAAGAUGACAAAAAAGUGAGUUUUCAAAUGGCUAGGAAAUUGGCUAUGAUGGUGAUUAACAAAACUAACCAGGGUUUAAGUAACUAACAGAAUGACUAGCUAUGUUGUUUGCGAAGAUACUAACAAAUUGGCUAAGGAAGGCUGCUAAUGAGUUUAAAAAUGGCUAAAAAAUUAGCCAUGAUAGUGAUUUAACAAAACUAACCAAGGUUUAAGUAACUAACAUAAUGACUAGCUAAUUUGUUUGCGAAGAUAUUAACAGAUUGGCUAAGGAUGGCUGUUAUUGUAACAACUAACAAAGAUGUGCCAGAAAAAUUAUAUCAAUGAAAAGAGUAACGAUAUGGUUUGCUAUGUUACAACAAAAUUAUUAACAAAUUUAAGUUCGAGCUAAUGUGAUGUCUAAAAAUAUUGUUUGCUUGGUAUUCACGAAUUUGCUAAAGAAAGCUGCUGAUAAUACAACUAACAGAGAUAUGUAAAAAAAUUAAUUAUAACAACUGUUAGGUAUUUAUGUUUAUAACUACCUAUUACCAGAGGUUAUAUUUGUGUUUACAGAUACUUACUACUCAUUAAGUAUAACUACCCUGUUAACUAUCUUGUCUUCUUUUAAACUGUAUAUCAUUAUAAGUUAGUCUUAAAAAUAAAGUCA